AUUGAACGCUGCGGCAGGCCUUACACAUGCAAGUCGAGCGAGAAAUUUUCUUCGGAAAAGAGUAAAGCGGCGGACGGGUGAGUAACGCGUAGGAAUCUACCUAGUAGUGGGGGACAACAUGUGGAAACGCAUGCUAAUACCGCAUACGCCCUAUGGGGGAAAGCAGGGGAUCUUCGGACCUUGUGCUAUUAGAUGAGCCUGCGUCGGAUUAGUUUGUUGGUAGGGUAAUGGCCUACCAAGACUACGAUCCGUAGCUGGUCUGAGAGGAUGAUCAGCCACACUGGGACUGAGACACGGCCCAGACUCCUACGGGAGGCAGCAGUGGGGAAUAUUGGACAAUGGGCGCAAGCCUGAUCCAGCCAUGCCGCGUGUGUGAAGAAGGCUCUAGGGUUGUAAAGCACUUUCAGUAGGGAGGAAAAGUUAGUAGUUAAUAACUGCUAGCCCUGACGUUACCUACAGAAGAAGCACCGGCAAACUCCGUGCCAGCAGCCGCGGUAAUACGGAGGGUGCGAGCGUUAAUCGGAAUUACUGGGCGUAAAGCGCGCGUAGGCGGUUUGAUAAGCUGGAUGUGAAAGCCCCGGGCUCAACCUGGGAACUGCAUCCAGAACUGUCUGACUAGAAUACAAUAGAGGUGAGUGGAAUUUCCUGUGUAGCGGUGAAAUGCGUAGAUAUAGGAAGGAACAUCAGUGGCGAAGGCGACUCACUGGAUUGAUAUU
rnacentral:rRNA from 1 species